UGCAUGGCUGUCGUCAGCUCGUGUCGUGAGAUGUUGGGUUAAGUCCCGCAACGAGCGCAACCCUGUCGUAUGUUAUAUGUGUCAUACGAGACUGCCGGUAAAAGCCGGAGGAAGGUGAGGAUGAUGUCAAGUCAGCAUGACCUUUAUAUCCAGGGCUACACACACGCUACAAUGGUCUGUACAAUGGGUAGCCAAGCCGCGAGGCGGAGCCAAUCCUGAAAGCAGGCCUCAGUUCAGAUUGCAGUCUGCAACUCGACUGCAUGAGGCCGGAGUUGCUAGUAACCGCAGGUCAGCAAUACUGCGGUGAAUACGUUCCCGGGUCUU
rnacentral:rRNA from 1 species